rnacentral:rRNA from 1 species
GAUGAACGCUGGCGGCGUGCCUAAUACAUGCAAGUCGAGCGAACAGACGAGGAGCUUGCUCCUCAGACGUUAGCGGCGGACGGGUGAGUAACACGUGGAUAACCUACCUAUAAGAAUGGGAUAACUUCGGGAAACCGGAGCUAAUACCGGAUAAUAUAUUGAACCGCAUGGUUCAAUAGUGAAAGACGGUUUUGCUGUCUCUUAUAGAUGGAUCCGCGCCGCAUUAGCUAGUUGGUAAGGUAACGGCUUACCAAGGCAACGAUGCGUAGCCGACCUGAGAGGGUGAUCGGCCACACUGGAACUGAGACACGGUCCAGACUCCUACGGGAGGCAGCAGUAGGGAAUCUUCCGCAAUGGGCGAAAGCCUGACGGAGCAACGCCGCGUGAGUGAUGAAGGUCUUCGGAUCGUAAAACUCUGUUAUUAGGGAAGAACAAAUGUGUAAGUAACUAUGCACGUCUUGACGGUACCUAAUCAGAAAGCCACGGCUAACUACGUG